AACGCGAAGAACCUUACCAGGUCUUGACAUCCCUCUGACCGCCCUAGAGAUAGGGCUUCCCUUCGGGGCAGAGGAGACAGGUGGUGCAUGGUUGUCGUCAGCUCGUGUCGUGAGAUGUUGGGUUAAGUCCCGCAACGAGCGCAACCCUUGAUCUUAGUUGCCAGCACUUCGGGUGGGCACUCUAGGAUGACUGCCGGUGACAAACCGGAGGAAGGUGGGGAUGACGUCAAAUCAUCAUGCCCCUUAUGACCUGGGCUACACACGUACUACAAUGGUCGGUACAACGGGAAGCAAUAGAGCGAUCUGGAGCGAAUCCUUAAAAGCCGAUCUCAGUUCGGAUUGCAGGCUGCAACUCGCCUGCAUGAAGUCGGAAUUGCUAGUAAUCGCGGAUCAGCAUGCCGCGGUGAAUACGUUCCCGGGCCUUGUACACACCGGUACUA
rnacentral:rRNA from 1 species